rnacentral:rRNA from 1 species
UACGUAGGCGGAAAAUUAAGUCAGUAGUGAAAUCCUGCAGCUUAACUGUAGAACUGUUAUUGAUACUGGUUUUCUUGAAUAUAGUUGAGGUAGGCGGAAUGUGUAAUGUAGCGGUGAAAUGCUUAGAUAUUACACAGAACACCGAUUGCGAAGGCAGCUUACUAAGCUAUGAUUGACGCUGAGGCACGAAAGCGUGGGGAGCGAACAGGAUUAGAUACCCUGGUAGUCC